rnacentral:rRNA from 1 species
AUGGUGUCGGAGCUGAGAUGCUGGGGCCGUACAAUAGUUGCCGUGGAUGGAUGGAACCACCUAGCUGCCACUGCCACACCAGCCGCCACCGCCGCAGCCCCGUCCACGUCGUCCUUGUCCUUCCCCGUCCCUGCUGUCGAUGGCGAGGAUGACAACGAGGACGUCGAUGAGUUCAACGGCUUCGACACACUGAGCGAGUACGAUGCCGGCGUGACAGAGAUCGACGAGGAGGACGAAAAGGCCCUCACUGCAUUCAUGUCCAAGGAAACCUCCUCCAAACGAUCGCUUGGUGAUAUCAUCCUCCAGAAGAUCAAAGAGAAGGACGCCACUGUCUCAACAUGUAAGCUUUCUCCAUGGUUAAUAUGA